rnacentral:rRNA from 1 species
GAUGAACGCUGGCGGCGUGCCUAAUACAUGCAAGUCGAACGAAGCGGGGACGGGUGAGAAACACGUCGAUAACCUCCUAUAAGACUGGGAUAACUUCGGGAAACCGGAGCUAAACCGGAUAAUUAUAGAUGGAUCAGCGAUGUAUUAGCUAGUUGGUAAGGUAACGGCUUACCAAGGCAACGAUGCAUAGCCGACCUGAGAGGGUGAUCGGCCACACGGGAACUGAGACACGGUCCAGACUCCUACGGGAGGCAGCAGUAGGGAAUCUUCCGCAAUGGGCGAAAGCCUGAUGGAGCAACGCCGCGUGAGUGAUGAAGGUCUUCGGAUCGUAAAGCUCUUUUAUUAGGGAAGCGGUACCUAAUCAGAAAGCCACGGCUAACUACGUGCCAGCAGCCGCGGUAAUUC